GGCUUCCUGCAGCCCUACCUGGGUUUUCCCUUAGUGGGGAGGUGAGUUUCCAGAGAGCAGGGCUUCUUGCCUGGACAGACUGGGCAAGAGAGGCCCAAGUGGGCAGAUGUAUCCCUCACCAGAGCUUGGAACAGACUCCUGGUC
ensembl:ribozyme RNaseP_nuc Nuclear RNase P